UUAAAAGCAACGAGGCAAUCGAAGUAGCCGAUUAUCCAACAUGGCAGAGAUCUGGUGGGGGUGCAAACCAGAAUGUGGUAAUGGUGAAUUACAGUUGUACAGCUUCUAAGUUUAAAUUAGCGAUUCAUCACGUUAUCGAUGUUGAGUGAUUGCAAUUUCUGCAAUAACUUGGGUGGUAACGCGGAAAAAUUCGUCCCUGGA
rnacentral:ncRNA from 1 species